GUUUUUAACUUUCUUAUUUCUCUGGGUUCUGGUUAUUCCGUUUUAAACACAUCUUUAUUGCUUCAAGUAGGACUAAGCCUUACACAAUGAUAAAAGUAACUGAAAAACUUAUUCCACUUGAAAAAAAAAGGAAAAACACUUUUGUGACUCACCCAAUAUAAACCACAACCCAAUAAAGCCACGAUUAAAGUGGAUGUCUACUAAAUCUCUCAAUGAAUGGGGUUUCACUUUCUGUUUUCACGAGUCAUCCAAGUCCUUUGAUGUAUGUUGGGCCCUCUUGCUCAAGGCUGUCUGUUCUUUCAUCACUCUUUCCUUCCAUGAAUCUCAUGCCUGCGAUUGCUCAGCACAAUCCUGGCUAACAAGACAUGGAGGGAAGGCUUCCUGGAACACGUGGAGCAAAGUCAGGAAGAUGACCCAAGUGAAGGAAGGACAACAGAGCUGACCUUGGAGGACAUGGGCCAGGAGAUCUAAGAUGAGAUUCCCAGGACUGCUACCUAGGUCCAACUUAGACUCUGAGAACCAAGGAAAAUGAACCUCACCCAAGUUCCUAGGUGGCAACUGAGGACCAGCCCACUGGGAGGCCAGCUGGGGUCCCAAGCCUGGUUAUUCAAAGUAUGGGCUCUAGAACAACAGCCCUGGCAUCAUCUGGAGUGUUUAGGAUGUAGAAGCUCAACUCCCAGUCCCCACUUAACACAUUAGACCUCUGGGUGCUUUUGGCGAGCAUAAAAUCUUGAGAAGUACAUCUCAGAGAACCCGAGGCAAGGUCAAGGAUCAGUCAGGGUUGGUUGAGGGACUGAACCUCAGUAGGGUUGGGAGUGAGAGCAGGUCAGAAGGGAGAGAAAUACUUGAAGCUGUCUCCACGAGCUGUGGGUAUAUGGUUAUGUGGUAUGCAGGUAUAUCUAGACUCUAAAAGGGGUUUGAAUUCUCCAGUCAGCCUUCUCUGAGACUGUAAAAGACAGGGGCCCAUCUUCCUCCUUCAUCUGUUCCAGACCUACCCAGACAUCUCAGAGCUCCAAGAUAUGUACUCAUUCUUUGUUGAACUGAAUGGGGUCCCCCAGAAAUCCCACUAGUCAUAUAUCCUGAGUUUAUGAUCAUAGAGAGUCACCUUUGAUUCUGCAUCUCCCCCAGGAAUCUCUUGGUGUAAUAAGUAUGCUUGGGUGUUUUCUGUAGCACAAAUCAAAGCAAAACAAAAUACCCUGCUGGGUCACAGCAGAUCCAGCACCACAUCCCCCGAGAGUUCAGGCGGUGUCCAAAGAACUCAUCAUGAGAGCUGACCUGCUAAUGUGUGAUUUCUGCAAAAGGGCCAACGAACCUGCUGGCUCCCAUGACGGCUGUCUGGAAAGUCAGUGCCCAGGCGCCAAAUCCAGAGGUGCGCUUUGUACUUGGAGAGACAGAAUGGCCAGCCACCUCGAGGCUUCAGGAGCUGGAUCAGUGCACAGCAGCCUCCAACUGGCAAGAGUUAAUGCUAAGGUGCAGCUGCAGGAAUGUGAAGCUGGAGAGCUAGCUCGGGGAAUUGCUAUUGCAAUCAGAGGACAGCCCAAGUCAGAGUUCCAAAACCCUUUGAAGGGCUGCCAGCUCGGACACAUGUCUCCAAUUAUCAUAUGCAAUCUUGAGGCAGUGUGCAAGCUGCACUUUCAUUAUGUCAAAGUGAAAGGAGUGGUGAGGGAGAGAUAAAGUGGGGAGAGGCCGCCAGGCCGGAGACUGCUUCGCUGUGGCACCAAAUGUCAGCCCGGGUGCAGAGUGAGCCUCCAACGUAUGUCUGUCCGGGAGCCCGAGGUGUGUGGCUCCUACUCUGAGAGCCUUUGUUUUCUUUCUUUCAUUCUGAGGAUGGAGGAGAACCAGCUGACAGCCACAGGAGGCCCUGUCUCUAGGAAACUUGACCAUCUCUUUGGUAUUGGAUCUGACCACAGAUAAGAUUCUGUGGAAACUUCCCAGGGACAUCCACUGUGUCCAGCCACAGGCUUUCAGGUUAUUUCUUAAAAUUUUUCAAGGUCUGUAUUUCCAUGGGGAGCCGGUUCCUUUGCCUGGUGUAACUAAGAAGGAGGCAUAAGAAUAGAUAGCUCCUUCUUGCCUAUCCAGGGUUGGCUGUUUCUAGGCUGGGUUUUGCUUUUUUUUUUUUUCAUUCUGAACCAAGUCCUAGCCCAGGAGACCAUUGCCCUCAACUUCAUUUUCCAAACACAGACCAAUAGAUUUUCCUCAGAGACAUCUCCCAGGCUUAUCUCUUCCACACCAUUGCCUCUUAGGACUGAGCUCAUCAUUUGGAAUGGAUAUUUGACUGAUCCAUGUGUUACUCUGUGUUUUUAAGUAAGUUUGCAGAGGUAUGGGAGGGUAGAACAUAUACUUUCUGGCUUCUUCUUAGCUCUCAAGAGUUAUUUAUACAUGCAUGCAGACUCACAUAUUUACACAUACAGUUUUAUGUAUGAAUAUGUCUUUACAUAUUGUAUUUACAUAUGUACAUGUAUUAUCUGUGUUAUAUGCAAAAUUGCUGCUGUACUAAGGACUUUAUAAGAUAGCAACAGAAUUUCCAUUACCACCCUUGUUUUGCAUUAAGAGAAGUGACAUUUAGAGCGAUAAGGAGCUUGCCAGCACCAUUCAACCAAGCUAGUGGUGAGGCCAGGCUUGGGCUGUGACACUCUGGUCACAAUCCUCAUAACAUCUCCGUCUGAAAUCCAUUCAGUUGUCUCCCAUGCUGUGUACCCAGGAAAUGUCACUUGGAGUAGUAUUCCAUUUAUUGAUGACAUAGGGGGUGUGCAGGGAGAGGAGACAUGCUAGGACUGGUGGCUGUGAAGAAAAAGGCAAGAACUAAGUUAUGCCUUACCUGCCCUGAGAUCCUGCUUAAGCAGACACUUGCCUGCUGUCUGGAAGAUUGGGCCGUGAUGUGGAAGAGACAUAGCUGGAAUGCACCCCUCACCAGGAAGCAGGCCUGGGUUAGAGGAAUCUCCUCAGUUCAUUGCUGUGGUUAAUUCUGGCCAACUUUGGCCCCUGGGCCCCCUGAGCCUCCUCCGCAAACCCAGAAGAACUCUGGAGAGGUCAGAGCAUUUUUAUUCACCAAUCCAAGUGAAAUGCAGCAAAACACACUCCACAUGCUUGACACGUGGAAAUUCUCAGAGCCAGCGGUUGAUAAAUGUGCCAAACUUGAGGAGUAAACAUCCCAGAGAAGGCAGAGCUGCAUGCAAGCCUUCCUGGCUUCAUCAGGUGGUUAUAUUAGCUUCAGAGCCUGGAGGCUAGCUCAUAACUAAUCCGUACAAGGUGUUGAGCCCUGUGCCUGGUAGACAGUGAGUAAGGUCUCAGUAGGUGCUAAUAGGCACAUUAGUACACUCGCUAUUACUAGUCGGAAGGAACCGAUCGGAUAGUUAUAACAACACUAGUAGCCAAUGAGCUUACUCGCCUCAUGGAAAACCAUCCCACCACAUUCUAAGGGCCUUCUAGUGUGCAAUUGACUCUAGUUUUCAAAACUAGAAUUUUGUUACAUAUUUCUUAAAUGCUAGGUACAUACAUACACAUAUAUACAUGUACACAUAUAUGUACACACACACACAUAUAAUCUUAGUUAUUGCUAGACUUUCUGAGAACUUAACUCCUAGAUGGUUGUUAAGAACUGUGUGGAAAGGCUGACAAGACGGCUCAGCUUGCAAGCUUGGCAACCUGAGUUUGAUUCCUGUGAGAACCCCUCCAUGAGGUUGUCUUCUGCCCUCCAUACAUGUUACAUGGCAUGUAUGCUAAAAUACACGCCCCCCCCCACACACUCAGUACAUUUGACAAAAGAACCUUGCUUAAGAUAACCCAGUCCAAGCUCUCCAUGUGAUGUCCAAGUCUGUUUCUUCAUCACUACUCUGGAACUUCUGGAACCUACAUGAUCCCCAUGAACCCAGGUUCAGGCAGGAUCUGCCCAGGGCACUGCCAUUCUGCUCCUCCCCUUCUGGGCACAGCUGUACACAUCUGUAUUCCAUGAUGCCCACUGAGAAGAGGGCUUCUCUAUCCCGUCUGUAAUGCACCAGUAAACAAACAUCCAGUGAGCCCUAGCAUGGCUGUUCCUUUCUUAAGUCAGCACAGGGUUGCUCAUAGCUGUGGCUUCUGACCCUUGCCCAGGACUUAACCGGUUUCAUGGCUUUACUUCAUGCUCACAAUCCUGCGAUUAUUUUCACAGCCGCCCAGUGUAAAAGGAGCUGUGCUUUGCCAGCAUUUGCAGAGAGGACUGAGAGAGCCAGCCUCAGGACUCAGCUCUGCUGUCAGCAUCCCCGAACUUGUCCCAUUACAGAGGGCUGCUUCCUCUCCACCAUGGGCAGCUGAUGACUUUGGCUCUGUGUGGCCCAGUGCCUGCAACUGUUCUGUUCCUGCCUUUAGUAGGAAGACCAUGAGGUCAACACUGAGGACAGGUCUCUGUGUUCCAGAUAACCUGGGCUUCCCCUUGGUUCUUCUUUUCUUGUUUAUUUUUUUCUCACCAGCAUAUAGGCCAGGCAUCCCAGAUGUGGCAGGACCUGCCCUCUAUCCUCAACUCCAGGUCUGAGGCAGGUGUCCCCCACAGGGCUUAAAAUUUUGGGCACACGCCUGUGGUCCACAGGAACUGGCCUAGCCAUUUGGUGGUGCUGAAGACCCGUGACUAUCUCUGCCUUCUGUUAGGAGUGGGAGAAGCUCAUGGUCUGACUAGCGGUGGGGAAGUCCAAGGGACAAACGGGGGCUCUAACCAUAAUCAGAACACCAGUGCUGUCGGUCUGCUCCUGGAACCAGGAGAGGUGGCAAAAAAAAAAAGGAUCUUGGAGAGAGAGGGUGGACUGGGCGAGCAGAGGAGACAGUGGGUUAGUGCUAGUUUUCUGUGACAGGUUGGAGGAUGUCUUCAGAUGAAAGAAGGUGCCAAAGAGAAGAGGGAAACCAAGGUAGAAAAAUCUUAGGAAGAAACGGAUGAAAAAGCAUGGAAUGGGCUUCUCUAUGAACACAAUGGAAUAUUUGGAGCUGCCUUUUCCUUAUGCUCAAGGGGUUGGGACCCUGGCCGUGCAGUGACCUCUCGGGGAAGCCAAGAUAGACUGCUAGCUGGAACUUCCCCCCACACAGGGGAAGAGUUCAAGCUGUGGAAAGGCCCUGGCCUGAGGUGGGUUUGGACUGCUUACACUCUGACCAGCCAAACUGAUAGCUCCUUGUGCUGUGUGAAAACACUGGCUUCCACAUUGUGACUGCAGUGUUCACCGAGAGCACAGUUUGCCUUUGGGGGAGCAAUGGUGCUGUGGUGGCAGGGAGGCUGUUUCUACCAGUAACUGUAGAACUUCUUUCCUGGAAAUUGGGUGCCCUCAAUGGGUCUCCAUUAGAGAUUCAGGUGACACGUUAGCCCUGUUAGCAGGCCAGGGAGCCAACGGCGUUUUUCAGAUAUCCCAAAGAGUCUGACAGUACUGGGGCAUGGCUCUCUACAAGUGGCUUUACUGGUGUAGCCACUCAGAGGCACAGCUGCUCUGCCUAAAAGCUUCCAGAAUGUCUCCCUCGCCAGCACUGUCUUCACAUCCAGGACUUAGCAGCUCUGUGUGCCCCUAGGAGAAAGACCUUUAGAACCUAUCUCUUCACAAGAGGGGCCUGGGACUUCUGAGGCCAUGGAAUAGGAACCCUGCAAAACCCACAGACACCGGCUAGUGGGAGGACUCCCUUUAUCUGACAAAGCAUCUCAGCACGGAAUGUUCUGGGACAAAAUUGAGGCUUGAGGGAAGCAACCACAACAACAAAAAAAACAAGAUGAAGGGGAUGGUGACUACAUCCUGCUCUGUGGAGGAUUCUGCAGUCUCUCUGUUACCUUUGCUGCUCUUAAGACAGUGGUCAUGAGUACAUUCUGUCUGUUUCCUUUCCUAUUUAGAGGAAAGGAAAGCAGCUGUGCCCACCUGACUUGGCCCCUCUCCCCUCCAUCUUCCUGGGCUUAUUUGUGUUAGUCUUACUAUGUUUGUCUUUAUCUGUUCUAUAGCAACCCUCGUCUCUACAGGUCUUAAUGGUCCCAGCUAGUUCUGGUCACUUGUGGAAAACGUCUCAGGAAGAAUAAAAAGUUUUCAAAAGUUCA